rnacentral:rRNA from 1 species
UACAGAGGGUGCAAGCGUUAAUCGGAAUUACUGGGCGUAAAGCGCGCGUAGGUGGUUUGUUAAGUUGAAUGUGAAAGCCCCGGGCUCAACCUGGGAACUGCAUCCAAAACUGGCAAGCUAGAGUACAGUAGAGGGUGGUGGAAUUUCCUGUGUAGCGGUGAAAUGCGUAGAUAUAGGAAGGAACACCAGUGGCGAAGGCGACCACCUGGACUGAUACUGACACUGAGGUGCGAAAGCGUGGGGAGCAAACAGG